AUCCAUCUGACGAGUCUCAAAUAGGACGAAACGGGCGUCCAU
rnacentral:hammerhead_ribozyme from 1 species